CCUUAUUUACUUGUUUUUUUUUUAGCUUCUGUUUUUGUCUAACUCACGCAGAGUGGUCUCAAGUCCGCCUACGUACAUGGCGAGCUAACUGAACAAACUGGUAACAGCGGAAAGCUGUCUACACGGGGUAAUCAGUCAGCUGGGAAGCGCGAAAAGGAACGGCGUCAUACCGCCCCAUAUCGUUUGUAUUAAAGACGUAAUGCAGCCAUAUGUACUUCUGGCUACACAAUUCGUGAUCUCCGGAAAUGUAUAUAGGGCUACGUUGUCAGAAUGACCCUAUGUUGGUUUUAACUGUUUUGUUUUUGAUUUGCCUUUUUAAUUUCAGCCAAAUAAGCUCAAUGCUUUUAUGUGGCUUUUUAGCUAAAAACUGUUUUGUUGUUGUUUAUUUAGUUUUUAAACUUAACUUGAGCAUCUAUUUUAUUGUAUAUCAGCACAUUUGUUUUCUUGUUGAAUUUUCCUGCCUUCCUCCAAACCUCUACAUCUUCCAUAAAGGUUAAAAGAGACAUACGCGAACGGAUAAUAGUUUAGGAAAAUGAAUCCCGCGCACAAUAAAAGCUGUCCUUCAAGCACACAUCAAGAAACUCCAUUCAUCCAGCGGAGACAAGAUUUCUUUCAUUCACUAAUGACUGGAGGUCAUCAAAACUUGCACUUUGAGCCUUAUCAACACUGCAAAAGCGAAGCAGAAGAUGAAGCCAAUUAAUCCCUAAUGAUAUUAAUGAUGCAAUUAGAACAUAUACCCGCUUUUCCCAUGAAGGGGACGGAAACCGCUCUCGAUGUCUUGUUAUCCGGGGACUCACUGGUGUCAAUCCGCCGCCUCUGAAGCUGCGGUGAUGCGCACAACAAAAGAGAGGCGCGCGCCGCUCGUGCAGGAGAAUCUCACCGCGCACACUCGUCUUUCAAUGUUGACCUUGGCACGAAGCUCCCAAAAGACAGAGUAGUGAAGGAAUACAUGUAUACGAGAUCAAACCUGCGCCCGGGUCUCACCUGGCACCAACGGCCCGAUGUCUGCCUCUGCUUCAGCCACUCUUGUCAAAACUCAGCUGCCGAAAUUAAUAAGGAAAAGUUCAUAAGCUUUGAUCCCGCUCAGAUAAAUUAUUUGUCAUUGGCAGAUCAGCCGAGUAUUUAUAAUCUAUUAAAUUGCGGACGAGACAGAAGGUUAAAUGGCUUUUUACAAAGACUAACGUGAGUUUAACUGCUGGCAUUUACCCAAUAUCAAUAAAUCCUCAUUCAAGUAAAAGGUUAUGUGGCCUGAUGAUGGGAAAUGUAUGUAGUAUGUAGCCUGUGUUUUUAGGCUUACAAUUAGAAGUGCUUACUCCCAGGGCCAUUUUAUAUCGAAGUUGAUAUUUAACCGCACCAUAUUGAUGAUUCGUAACAUCUAGAUUUUAUGAGGUGGAUCGUUAGCCCAACGGUCAACCCCAACUUGAAGGACCAGGACAUGUACAGACAAUUUAGCUUACCUAAUUCACCGGGGGAAACCGGGGUACCCUAAGGAAACCCACAUGAACAGAACAUGCAAACUGGCUCGGGCGGGGCUCGAACCAGCGACCUUCUUGCUGUGAGGCGACAGUGCUAAUCACUGCGCCACCGUGUUGCCCCUCAAUCAGUAUUACAGGCUGAAAAUUGUGACUGUUGUCAUUCCUGAAGACUUUAUUUUAUUUAUUAAAUCAAAGUCUUGUGCAGACCUUAUUUUUAAACGUGAGGUCUCCAGACUUCCGCCAUCAUUCACUUCCAUUGAUUUCUAACCAUAAAAAACAGCUUGUUACGGUUCUUGAUUUUGUAAGCUAGUUUGUUUUCCUAAUUAUUAUAUUUAUUUAUUGUCAUAAACUUGUUUGUAGAGCAAGUCUGACUCUGACAUUUUACAGCAGGUUGUUAUUCCUAGUCAUUUCCCUCAUAGGUUAAUGAAUCUGAAGUCCUAAAACAAUUGUGUCCUAGUUGUCUAACUUAAAUCCGCAUUGAAGAAUAAGCAAAUUUUUUCUGAGACACCAAUUACUAAUUAGUUAUCUAUUAUUACUAAUUAUUACUAUUAUUAUUAUCUAAUUUUUGUUAUUAGCCUAGAUAUUUAGCAUUAGCUUCAAGGACUGGCGUUGAAGAUUCUAUCCUGAACACAAAGUAGGCCUGCAAUGUUGUCAGCAGCAUGAUAGUUUAUAAGAAAAUUUAAAAAGUGCUACACAACAGCAUGCAGUCUUGGCACUGUUGUUCAUUUAAUUGCAUAAUGUAUAGGAAUUGUGUAGUAGUAAGGUCUUUAAUUAAAUGGACAUAACUUUAGUUAAGAAUAGUUGGUUUGCAGUGACCAAAUUGAAGCACUCAGCCUCUUGAUAAGGCUGAAACUAAUCAUCUGCAACCUGAUAUACAUUAGCCAGGCACAUAUUUCAUGCUGGCUUUGAGGUCUACCAAACAAAAAGGCCACAGUUGCAGUGCAAUCAAUAUGGAAAUAGUCGUCUGCUCUCCAAAUAAAUGAAAAAAGCCCGCAGAGGAGGUUCAGGUGGUGGAGAUGAGUUUGAGGGAGGGGCGCUGAAAGAUCAAGCUCCGUUCGCAGAUUACAACACUUGAUGGAUACUCCAAAAACAUGGCGGUGAUCUUUAUUGAUCAUCUUGUUUCUAAUCAGUGAGUGUAAUCAUUGACUCCUGUGAGGCCGUUAUAAAUGCACGUCAUGAUUUAAGGGUCGUCGGUUUGGCUAUUUUAAAAUUUUAAUUUAAACAUCAAGACUUUCGAGCAAACUUAUUGCAAAGUAAAAACUAGGGUUUAGAAAGGUCCCUCGCAGGAGAAUCUGUAUCUAGAGAAGCUCUCAGUGCUUGCGGACAGGUUUCCUGAGGUGGUUUACCCCAGCUUUAAUCUAUAUUAAAUGAUCUAGUUUCACAAGAUGAAAGCCUGUUUGUUUUGUUGAGCAAAACUUUCCCAGGUACAGUCACUGCCUGAAGCCUGCCAAAGGUUCAAGAUACAGAGUUUGCAAAACAAAUUCUCCAGGCGUUCUUGGGUGUAGGAAUCGGCAGCAGGGAUGCUUGUUGAUAUAUAUUAAACAUAUGUGUGCAUCACUUUAUCAUUACUAUAUUCACACCUACCGGCGAGAGGCACAUUUAGCACGUCCACAGUGUUGUUGACGGGUCAAAGGGACCUUUUGAUUAGGCAUAAUGCUCUGGGAAGAAUCUGCCAGCGUGUAGCAGACGAAUAAUUGUUUGGAAUAGGGAUUCUCAGCGGACUCUUCUGAGCUUGUCAGCUGGUGUUUGAAGUGUGCGCUGACAUUGGGAAAAACUCAAGGGCAGGGGUUGAGCGGGAAACAGUCUCUCAAAUGAGAAAAGGGAAGGGAGCAAAAGAGAUCCGAAGAGGAAAAACAAAGACAAAGGCAACUUUACAGAACUUAGUCCUCCGGAAGCUUAAGAAACUCAAGGACCUGGCAAAAAGACCUUGGGUUUUUCACCUGCUCAUCACUUUGAGAGUCUCCCAACAUGAAACAAGAUGUAGAAGGAUACCUCACUUAGUCUACACUCAGGUGGGUCUCCCUUCAUCUGAGAGUAAAGAAAGCAGCCAGUGUACUUUAAGGCACUUUGAACAUGAUAUGAAACAGCACAAGUCUUGCAAACGUACCUUCUGGGGUGGGAUCGUGUGGAGUUCAUUGUCUUCUCGUGUUCAUACAAAGAAAACUGUACUCGCUGGACCAGGCAGCCUUCUUCCACUGCUACAAGGUCCAGAUCAGACACUCAUGUGCUUCUUGUAGGCACUUCCGUCCAGUUCAGACACUCUUGUGCUCCUUGUAGGCACAUCCACUGGUGGUCAUCAUUUGCAGUCUGAUUGGUCUACUGUUAUGCUGUGUUAUGUUAUGCUACCAUAAGCGGCAGAGUUGCAAUACAUUCCCCCCCUAACCAUCUAAAUGUGUUGUACUUUUCUGUUGGCUUGGGCCAGAUGGGACAGCCUCUAUUGCCUUCAAGCCUCAAAGAGCCUUGGGAGUCCAACAUCCUGAGGCCAUUUUUUGCCAUGUGAAAUUUUUUUUGAGCAAUUCUUAUCACUGCUAUUCAGGAAUAAAGGGCCGUUCACACUAAUUUAUAACAGUAAAGACAUAGCUCUGAGUGUUAAAACAAAGGCAGAGCUCAGACUAUAAGGAUUAAGAAGUAGAGAAAUAAUAUCCUUGGGAUCACUUUGAGAACCAUCUUUGUCCAACCAACAAACUAUAAAACGCUGAUAGACAGUCAGAAUUUUUUUAAAUGUAAAGGACGCAUGCAAAUUAAAGCUACAGAUGACAUUGUGGAGAAGCACUUUACUUCAUGUUAAGCCCUCUUUUGAUGACUAUGUUAAAAACAAUUUGUUAAUGUUACCAUUGUUUGAAUGUAAAGAAGCCAUUCAAGCCAGGCCACCAAAUUGAAGUAAAGUAAUAAAAGUACUUCAGGUAUCCAA